rnacentral:rRNA from 1 species
GAUGAACGCUGGCGGCGUGCCUAAUACAUGCAAGUCGAGCGAACGGACGAGAAGCUUGCUUUUCUGAUGUUAGCGGCGGACGGGUGAGUAACACGUGGAUAACCUACCUAUAAGACUGGGAUAACUUCGGGAAACCGGAGCUAAUACCGGAUAAUAUCUUGAACCGCAUGGUUCAAAAGUGAAAGACGGUCUUGCUGUCACUUAUAGAUGGAUCCGCGCUGCAUUAGCUAGUUGGUAAGGUAACGGCUUACCAAGGCAACGAUGCAUAGCCGACCGGAGAGGGUGAUAGGCCACCCUGGAACUGAGACACGGUCCAGACUCCUACGGGAGGCAGCAGUAGGGAAUCGGCCGCAAUGGGCGAAAGUCUGACGGAGCAACGCCGCGUGAGUGAUGAAGGUCUUCGGAGCGUAAAACUCUGUUAUUAGGGAAGAACAUAUGUGUAAGUAACUGUGCACAUCUUGACGGUACCUAAUCAGAAAGCCACGGCUAACUACGUG